rnacentral:rRNA from 1 species
UACGAAGGGGCUAGCGUUGUUCGGAUUUACUGGGCGUAAAGCGCACGUAGGCGGAUUGUUAAGUCAGGGGUGAAAUCCUGGAGCUCAACUCCAGAACUGCCUUUGAUACUGGCAAUCUCGAGUCCGGAAGAGGUGAGUGGAACUCCUAGUGUAGAGGUGGAAUUCGUAGAGUAUUAGGAAGAACACCAGUGGCGAAGGCGACUCACUGGCCCGAUACUGACGCUGAGGCGCGAAAGCGUGGGGAGCAACAGG